rnacentral:lncRNA from 1 species
GAUUGACGAGAUUGUGCUUGUUGGUGGAAGUACCAGGAUUCCCAAGGUCCAACAGCUUCUUAAGGACUACUUUGAUGGCAAGGAGCCAAACAAGGGUGUGAACCCUGAUGAGGCUGUUGCUUAUGGUGCCGCUGUACAAGGAAGCAUCUUGAGUGGAGAGGGUGGUGAAGAAACCAAAGGUAAUACUCAUUUCUCUUCUUAUACAGAUAAUUUUGAUAUAUUUGAUAAAGCGGUAAUUAGAUGAACUGCUGUAGCAACUUCUGACAAGUUUACUGUGGUAUUCAGAUAUUCUUCUCCUUGACGUCGCACCUCUCACCCUCGGUAUUGAAACUGUUGGAGGAGUGAUGACCAAGCUUAUCCCAAGAAACACCGUGAUCCCAACCAAGAAAUCCCAGGUUUUCACCACCUACCAGGAUCAGCAGAC